GCUAACCAGCUCGCCGACACACCGGAUUAAACCCCCACCAUAAAUACUCCAACAAACCUUAAAGCUAAUCAACAAACCAUUUUUCCCCCUUAGUAUAGGCGAUAGAAAAGGAAACUUCGAGCAAUAGAAAAAGUACCGUAAGGGAAAGCUGAAAAAGAAAUGAAAUAAAUCAUUUAAGCCUUAAAAAGCAGAGAUUAAGCCUCGUACCUUUUGCAUCAUGAUUUAGCUAGUAAAUCCGAGCAAAGAGCACUUUAGUCCGGACCCCCGAAACUAGACGAGCUACUCCGGGACAGCCUAAUUUAGGGCCAACCCAUCUCUGUGGCAAAAGAGUGGGAAGAUCCCCGAGUAGAGGUGACAAGCCUAUCGAGUUUAGUUAUAGCUGGUUGCUUAGGAAAUGAAUAGAAGUUCAGCUCUCAGGGCCUCUUAAUACCUUAAGGUAAAACUAAUUAUGUUUAAAAGAGCCCUAAGAAGUUAGUCAAAAGAGGUACAGCUCUUUUGAACAAGGACACAACCUUAACAGGUGUUUAAGGAUCAUAAUUAUUAAGGCACCUGUUAUAGUGGGCCUAAGAGCAGCCACCUAUGAAGAAAGCGUUAAAGCUCAAACAGACACCAGCCUCUUAUUUUGAUAAACAAUCCUAACCCCUAAUACUACUAAGCCCCUCCACACUUGUGGAAGAGAUUAUGCUAAAAUGAGUAAUAAGAGGGAACAACCCUCUCCACGCACCUGUGUAAGUCGGACCGGACCCCCCACCGAUUCUUAACGAACCCAAACCAAGAGUGUAUUGUAAACCCUAACAAGAAAAACUUACAUAAACUAAUCGUUAAUUCCACACUGAUGUGCACCCAGGGAAAGACCUAAAGAAAGAGAAGGAACUCGGCAAACACAAGCCUCGCCUGUUUACCAAAAACACCGCCUCUUGCAUACCAAAUAUAAGAGGUCCCGCCUGCCCUGUGACUAUACGUUUAACGGCCGCGGUAUUUUAACCGUGCGAAGGUAGCGCAAUCACUUGUCUUUUAAAUGAAGACCUGUAUGAAUGGCAUCACGAGGGCUUAGCUGUCUCCUCUUUCAAGUCAAUGAAAUUGAUCUGCCCGUGCAGAAGCGGACAUAAGAACAUAAGACGAGAAGACCCUAUGGAGCUUUAGACACCCGGCAGACCAUGUCAAGUAACCCUGUUAUUGGAUUAAAACAAAACGGCUCCUGGCCCACAUGUCUUCGGUUGGGGCGACCACGGGGGAAAAUAUAGCCCCCAUGCGGACUAAGGGUAACACCCUUAUAACCAUGAGCUACAGCUCUAAGUCUCAGAAAUUCUGACCAAAAAGAUCCGACACCCGUCGAUCAACGGACCAAGUUACCCUAGGGAUAACAGCGCAAUCCUCUCCCAGAGUCCCUAUCGACGAGGGGGUUUACGACCUCGAUGUUGGAUCAGGACAUCCUAAUGGUGCAACCGCUAUUAAGGGUUCGUUUGUUCAACGAUUAAAGUCCUACGUGAUCUGAGUUCAGACCGGAGUAAUCCAGGUCAGUUUCUAUCUAUGAAGUGAUCUUCUUUAGUACGAAAGGACCAAGAAGAGGGGGCCCCUGCCAAAAGCACGCCCCACCUCCACCCAAUGAAAACAACUAAAAUGGUCAAGGAGGCGCACCAAAAGUGCCGAAAAGAACCGCGC
rnacentral:rRNA from 1 species